AGCGAACGCUGGCGGCAUGCCUAACACAUGCAAGUCGAACGAACUCUUCGGAGUUAGUGGCGGACGGGUGAGUAACACGUGGGAACGUGCCUUUUGGUUCGGAAUAACUCAGGGAAACUUGUGCUAAUACCGAAUGUGCCCUUCGGGGGAAAGAUUUAUCGCCAUUAGAGCGGCCCGCGUCUGAUUAGCUAGUUUGUGAGGUAACGGCUCACCAAGGCGACGAUCAGUAGCUGGUCUGAGAGGAUGACCAGCCACACUGGGACUGAGACACGGCCCAGACUCCUACGGGAGGCAGCAGUGGGGAAUCUUGCGCAAUGGGCGAAAGCCUGAUGCAGCCAUGCCGCGUGAAUGAUGAAGGUCUUAGGAUUGUAAAAUUCUUUCACCGGGGACGAUAAUGACGGUACCCGGAGAAGAAGCCCCGGCUAACUUCGUG
rnacentral:rRNA from 1 species